UGGGGAAUAUUGGACAAUGGGCGCAAGCCUGAUCCAGCCAUGCCGCGUGAGUGAUGAAGGCCUUAGGGUCGUAAAGCUCUUUCGCCUGUGAAGAUAAUGACGGUAGCAGGUAAAGAAACCCCGGCUAACUCCGUGCCAGCAGCCGCGGUAAUACGGAGGGGGUUAGCGUUGUUCGGAAUUACUGGGCGUAAAGCGCACGUAGGCGGACCAGAAAGUUGGGGGUGAAAUCCCGGGGGCUCAACCCCGGAACUGCCUCCAAAACUAUUGGUCUAGAGUUCGAGAGAGGUGAGUGGAAUUCCAAGUGUAGAGGUGAAAUUCGUAGAUAUUUGGAGGAACACCAGUGGCGAAGGCGGCUCACUGGCUCGAUACUGACGCUGAGGUGCGAAAGUGUGGGGAGCAAACAGGAUUAGAUACCCUGGUAGUCCACACCGUAAAACGAUGAAUGCCAGUCGUCGGGUAGCAUGCUAUUCGGUGACACACCUAACGGAUUAAGCAUUCC
rnacentral:rRNA from 1 species